rnacentral:rRNA from 1 species
CCGAGUUGUAAUUUGCAGAGGAUGCUUCGGGCGUGGCCGCGGUCUAAGUCCCCUGGAACGGGGCGUCGCAGAGGGUGAGAAUCCCGUCUUCGGCCGGCCGGCUUCGCCCGUAUGAAGCUCCUUCGACGAGUCGAGUUGUUUGGGAAUGCAGCUCUAAAUGGGUGGUAAAUUUCAUCUAAAGCUAAAUAUUGGUCGGAGACCGAUAGCGCACAAGUAGAGUGAUCGAAAGAUGAAAAGCACUUUGAAAAGAGAGUUAAACAGCAUGUGAAAUUGUUGAAAGGGAAGCGCUUGCGACCAGAGUCGGCCGCGGGGGUUCAGCGGGCAUUCGUUGCCCGUGCACUCCCCCGCGGGCGGGCCAGCGUCGGUUUUGACGGCCGGUCAAAGGCCCCCGGAAUGUGUCGCCUCUCGGGGCGUCUUAUAGCCGGGGGUGCAAUGCGGCCAGUCGGGACCGAGGAACGCGCUUCGGCACGGACGCUGGCUUAAUGGUCGUAAGCGACCCGUCUUGAAACACGGACCAAGGAGUCUAACAUCCACGCGAGUGUUCGGGUGUCAAACCCGUCCGCGCAGUGAAAGCGAACGGAGGUGGGAGCCCUCAAGGGUGCACCAUCGACCGAUCCUGAAGUCUUCGGAUGGAUUUGAGUAAGA